rnacentral:rRNA from 1 species
GAGCGCCCCCAAGGGGAGCGGCAGACGGGAGAGUAACACGUGGCAACGUGCCCUUCAGUUCGGAACAACCCAGGGAAACUUGGGCUAAUACCGAAUACGUCCGUAAGGAGAAAGAUUUAUCGCUGAAGGAUCGGCCCGCGUCUGAUUAGCUUGUUGGUGAGGUAACGGCUCACCAAGGCGACGAUCAGUAGCUGGUCUGAGAGGAUGAUCAGCCUCACUGGGACUGAGACACGGCCCAGACUCCUACGGGAGGCAGCAGUGGGGAAUAUUGGACAAUGGGCGCAAGCCUGAUCCAGCCAUGCCGCGUGGAUGAUGAAGGCCCUACGGUUGUAAAGUCCUUUCGGCGGGGAAGAUAAUGACGGUACCCGCAGAAGAAGCCCCGGCUAACUUCGUGCCAGCAGCCGCGGUAAU